rnacentral:tRNA from 1 species
CCGGAGGUGGUAGAGGAUAUGAUGUGGUAUCGUGUCGUGUAGGAAUUCAGACUCGUCGAUAGAAUGAGCACGGGUUUUGUGGAAAACGAGAUCUUUGGU